UGUGAGCAGGAAUGAAGGUGAGGUGUGAGCGGGGUACAGGUGAGGUGUGCGGCGGCUCCUCCGGGCUCGGACACGGGGAAAGCCGAGUUUGGUGUGGGCAGUGGGCACGGUGCCCGUGGGCUCCUGCGUGGGUUUGGGCACGGAAAGCAGCCUGGCCCGUGGUUGAGGAGCGAGCGAGCCCGGCUCGGCUGGGAGCUGCUGGCGAAGCUGCCCGGCCCGUUUGUGGGAUGGGGUUUGUUCCUCUCCUUUGGUGCGUUCGAUACUCUGCGAGUUCCAGCUUCUCAUCCGUGGAGUUUAAUCUGAAAGGUAAAGGACAGAAAGCACGCUAAGACCCAGACCGGGCAGGCUGUGAGGAAAAAAGGAAGGCACAGGCUGAGCCUCCACUUCCCAACGAGCUUGCAGUGCU